rnacentral:rRNA from 1 species
GGGACAACAGUUGGAAACGACUGCUAAUACCGCAUAAGCCCACGGAUCCGCAUGGAUCUGCGGGAAAAGGAUUUAUUCGCUCUAGGAUGGACUCGCGUCCAAUUAGCUAGUUGGUGAGGUAACGGCCCACCAAGGCGACGAUUGGUAGCCGGACUGAGAGGUUGAACGGCCACAUUGGGACUGAGACACGGCCCAGACUCCUACGGGAGGCAGCAGUGGGGGAUAUUGCACAAUGGGGGAAACCCUGAUGCAGCGACGCCGCGUGGAGGAAGAAGGUUUUCGGAUUGUAAACUCCUGUCGUUAGGGACGAUAAUGACGGUACCUAACAAGAAAGCACCGGCUAACUACGUGCCAGCAGCCGCGGUAAAACGUAGGGUGCAAGCGUUGUCCGGAAUUACUGGGUGUAAAGGGAGCGCAGGCGGACCGGCAAGUUGGAAGUGAAAACUAUGGGCUCAACCCAUAAAUUGCUUUCAAAACUGCUGGCCUUGAGUAGUGCAGAGGUAGGUGGAAUUCCCGGUGUAGCGGUGGAAUGCGUAGAUAUCGGGAGGAACACCAGUGGCGAAGGCGACCUACUGGGCACCAACUGACGCUGAGGCUCGAAAGCAUGGGUAGCAAACAGGAUUAGAUACCCUGGUAGUCCAUGCCGUAAACGAUGAUUACUAGGUGUUGGAGGAUUGACCCCUUCAGUGCCGCAG